rnacentral:rRNA from 1 species
UACGUAGGGUGCGAGCGUUGUCCGGAAUUACUGGGCGUAAAGAGCUCGUAGGCGGUUUGUCGCGUCGAAUGUGAAAACCCGGGGCUCAACCCCGGGCCUGCAUUCGAUACGGGCAGACUAGAGUUCGGUAGGGGAGUCUGGAAUUCCUGGUGUAGCGGUGAAAUGCGCAGAUAUCAGGAGGAACACCGGUGGCGAAGGCGGGACUCUGGGCCGAUACUGACGCUGAGGAGCGAAAGCGUGGGGAGCAAACAGG